CACUGAGAGGUGGUGCUGACAUUCUGUAUGGACAACAGUUUUCAAGGCAUUGUCGGUACAGGAUAUCUUCUGGAGAUCUCAAAUGCCAGGCUUUCAAAAUCCAAGGAAGGUCUAAUCAGCAUUUCAUUACCAUGUCUAGAGCAACAUAGAAGUGAAUCUCCAGCCUGCAAUUUGGCAAACUGUUUCUCUGUAAACAACAGGAGAUAUACACUGAACUACAGAAAAUGUUUUGCAAGAAGAACAGACCAGCA